CAGUAGCCACGGUAAUACGUAGGUGGCAAGCGUUGUCCGGAAUUAUUGGGCGUAAAGGGCUCGCAGGCGGUUUCUUAGUCUGAUGUGAAAGCCCCCGGCUCAACCGGGGAGGGUCAUUGGAAACUGGGAAACUUGAGUGCAGAAGAGGAGAGUGGAAUUCCACGUGUAGCGGUGAAAUGCGUAGAGAUGUGGAGGAACACCAGUGGCGAAGGCGACUCUCUGGUCUGUAACUGACGCUGAGGAGCGAAAGCGUGGGGAGCGAACAGGAUUAGAUACCCCCGUAGUCCCUGUCUCUUAUACC
rnacentral:rRNA from 1 species